CAAUAGCGUAUAUUAAAGUUGUUGCAGUUAAAACGCUCGUAGUCGGAUUUCGGGGCGGGCCUGCCGGUCUGCCGUUCGGUACGUACUGGCGGGCGCGUCCUUCCUUUCGGAGACCGCGCCUCCUCUUAACUGAGCGGGCGCGGGAGACGGAUCGUUUACUUUGAAAAAAUCAGAGUGUUUCAAGCAGGCAGCUCGCUCUUGCAUGGAUUAGCAUGGGAUAAUGAAAUAGGACUCUGGUGCUAUUUUGUUGGUUUCGAACACCGGAGUAAUGGUCAACAGGGACAGUCAGGGGCACUCGUAUUCCGCCGAGAGAGGUGAAAUUCUCAGACCAGCGGAAGACGAACCACUGCGAAAGCAUUUGCCAGGGAUGUUUUCACUG
rnacentral:rRNA from 1 species